AUCAUUUAGAGGAAGGAGAAGUUGCGUCCUCCUUUGUGCCAAAACUCAAACCCCGGCGUUGAAUGCGCCAAGGAAUUUAAAUUUUGCUCUGAGCACACCUGCAUGGCACCGGAGACGGUUUUCGUGCGUGUUGUGUUUUGACACAUGAUAUAGAAUGACUCUCGGCAACGGAUAUCUAGGCUCUUGCAUCGAUGAAGAACGUAGCGAAAUGCGAUACUUGGUGUGAAUUGCAGAAUCCCGUGAACCAUCGAGUUUUUGAACGCAAGUUGCGCCUGAUGCCAUUAGGUUGAGGGCACGUCUGCCUGGGUGUCACAUAUCGAAUCCCCUUGCCAAUUUCCUAUUUAUUAGGUAUUGCGUGCAGGGUGAAUAUGUUGGCCUCCCGUGAGCUCUGUCUCGUGGUUGGUUGAAAAUUGAGACCUUGGUAGGGUGUGCCAUGAUAGAUGGUGGAUGUGUGACCCACGAGACCAAAUCAUGUGCAGCUCUAUUGAACGUGGACUCUUUUACCCACAUGUGUUUUAUAACGCUCGUGAUGAGACCUCAGGUCAGGCGGGGCUACCCGCUGAA
rnacentral:rRNA from 1 species